rnacentral:rRNA from 1 species
AUUGAACGCUGGCGGCAGGCCUAACACAUGCAAGUCGAGCGGCAGCGGGAAAGUAGCUUGCUACUUUUGCCGGCGAGCGGCGGACGGGUGAGUAAUGCCUGGGGAUCUGCCCAGUCGAGGGGGAUAACUACUGGAAACGGUAGCUAAUACCGCAUACGCCCUACGGGGGAAAGCAGGGGACCUUCGGGCCUUGCGCGAUUGGAUGAACCCAGGUGGGAUUAGCUAGUUGGUGAGGUAAUGGCUCACCAAGGCGACGAUCCCUAGCUGGUCUGAGAGGAUGAUCAGCCACACUGGAACGGGGACACGGUCCAGACGCCUACGGGAGGCAGCAUUGGGGAAUAUUGCACAAUGGGGGAAACCCUGAUGCAGCCAUGCCGCGUGUGUGAAGAAGGCCUUCGGGUUGUAAAGCACUUCCAGCGAGGAGGAAAGGUUGGUAGCUAAUAACUGCCAGCUGUGACGUUACUCGCAGAAGAAGCACCGGCUAACUCCGUGCCAGCAGCCGCCGUAACAC